GACGAACGCUGGCGGCGUGCUUAACACAUGCAAGUCGAACGAAAAUACCAAGCUUGCUUGGUUGAUUAGUGGCGAACGGGUGAGUAACACGUGAGUAACCUGCCCCUUACUUUCCUGGAUAACUGCUCGAAAGGGUAGCUAAUACGGGAUAUUCUGACCAGCCUGCAUGGGUUGGUUUGGAAAGGUUGUUUUUCUGGUAAGGGAUGGGCUCGCGGCCUAUCAGCUUGUUGGUGGGGUGAUGGCCUACCAAGGCUUUGACGGGUAGCCGGCCUGAGAGGGUGGACGGUCACACGGGGACUGAGAUACGGCCCAGACUCCUACGGGAGGCAGCAGUGGGGAAUAUUGCACAAUGGGCGCAAGCCUGAUGCAGCGACGCCGCGUGAGGGAUGAAGGCCUUCGGGGUGUAAACCUCUUUCGUCAGGGAACAAGGCACUGCUUUUUUGGUGGUGUUGAGGGUACCUGGAGAAGAAGCGCCGGCUAACUACGUG
rnacentral:rRNA from 1 species